rnacentral:rRNA from 1 species
UGGCGGCGAUGCCUACACAUGCAAGUCGUACGAGAACUCUUUAAGCUUGCUUAGAGAUAGUAAAGUGGCGCACGGGUGAGUAACGCGUGGGCAAUCUGCCUCCAAGAUCGGGAUAACUCGCCGAAAGGCGUGCUAAUACCGGAUAAUAUUUUAGGAACGCAUGUUCCAAAAAUCAAAGAUGGCCUCUACAUGUAAGCUGUUGCUUGGAGAGGAGCCCGCGUACCAUCAGCUUGUUGGUAAGGUAAUGGCUUACCAAGGCUUUGACGGUUAGGUGGUCUGAGAGGACGAUCACCCACACUGGGACUGAGACACUGCCCAGACUCCUACGGGAGGCAGCAGUGGGGAAUAUUGGACAAUGGGGGCAACCCUGAUCCAGCAAUGCCGCGUGUGUGAAGAAGGCCUGCGGGUUGUAAAGCACUUUCAGUUGAGAAGAAAAGCUAUGGGUUUAAUACCCCUAUAGAUUUGACGUUACCAACAGAAGAAGCACCGGCUAACUCUGUGCCAGCAGCCNCGGUAAUACG